rnacentral:rRNA from 1 species
UAGUGAGUUUGAUCCUGGCUCAGAUUGAACGCUGGCGGCAUGCCUAACACAUGCAAGUCGAACGGCAGUCUUCGGACUGUAGUGGCGCACGGGUGAGUAACGCGUAACUGACCUACCCCAAAGUCGCGGAUAAUGGUUCGAAAGAAUCGCUAAUACGUGAUGUGCUGCUCCCUCCUGUGGGAUCAGUAAAGAUUUAUUGCUUUGGGAUGGGGGUUGCGUUCCAUCAGCUAGUUGGUAGGGUAAAGGCCUACCAAGGCGACGACGGAUAGCCGGCCUGAGAGGGUGGCCGGCCACAGGGGCACUGAGACCACGGGGCCCACUCCGUACGGGAGGCAGCAGUUAGGAAUCUCCACAAUGGGGCGAAAGCCUGAUGGAGCGACGCCGCGUGA